rnacentral:lncRNA from 1 species
CCCCGCCUCUCUCUCUCUCUUCUAUCCCGCUCUCUCUCUCUCCGAUCUCGCCUCUCUCUCCGAUCUCCCCACAGGAAUCCGCGCUCUCUUCGACCUCCUGCCGAUGUAACAUACCAGAUUUUGGUAUAAAAGUAAAAAUAAAUAAAAAUAAUGUGAGAUACUAUUUCUAUUAGAUUUAAAGAAGUAAAAUAUAAGUCAGAAGUGACUUGUGCUGAAAUCGGAAUGAAAACAGAAGAUUUAGAAUUUUCUGUUGGAAACGGGACAGAUAAAUUAGUAGAAAAUGCACAGUGUCAGAAAAUUAUGAAAACUGGAGGAUAAGCCAGAAUCAUUUUUAUGAGGCUAGAUUUAAAGUUUCAUAUCAUUUUGACACCCGAAAGGUGGAAAAUAAAAUCCGAAAGCUAUCUGAUAAAGAUUGCAGUUCGGUACAGUUUUCGGUGACUAAACGGGGUCGAAAUUGAAAUAUUAAAAUUUGUUUGGACUCGUUAAGUAAAACCAAAUAUAACUGUCAAAUUUGAGCUCAAACGGAUGUUCAGGGAGCUCCGGCGAAAGAUAUCAGAUUUUGAGCUGCCUGGAGUGAAUAGUGUUUUGAGGGUGUUUGUGACACCCCA